rnacentral:antisense_RNA from 1 species
GCCACCAACCCCUCUCCUUCCUGUGGCUUUUCUAACUGGAACUGGAACUCAGAAAGUACAUUAAUCACCAAUUUGGGAAGCUAUAGGAAAGUAUGUUUUCUAAUAUACAGUGAGAGAAUGUGACUGAUAAAAACCAAUUUUCUUGAGACUUUCUCCCUGGAAAGUGAAUAUAUUUAUUCAUAGGGCCUUCACAAGCACAGACUAACAAGCAAAGAGCUACAUUCACUAGGAAGGAAGACUCAAAAUUUAAAAAUAGAAAAAAAAAUGAUGGCCCAGAAGAGCAAGUCCAGACUGCUGUUCAUGAGUGAUCCUCACAGGACUGUGUUGCCUCUGACGUCGGCCAUCCUGGAGAGCAGCAGAGCAUCACUGGCAG